rnacentral:rRNA from 1 species
AUUGAACGCUGGCGGCAUGCCUUACACAUGCAAGUCGAACGGUAACAGGUCUUCGGAUGCUGACGAGUGGCGAACGGGUGAGUAAUACAUCGGAACGUGCCUAGUAGUGGGGGAUAACUACUCGAAAGAGUGGCUAAUACCGCAUGAGAUCUACGGAUAAAAGCAGGGGAUCGCAAGACCUUGUGCUACUAGAGCGGCCGAUGGCAGAUUAGGUAGUUGGUGGGAUAAAAGCUUACCAAGCCGACGAUCUGUAGCUGGACUGAGAGGACGAUCAGCCACACUGGGACUGAGACACGGCCCAGACUCCGACGGGAGGCAGCAGUGGGGAAUUUUGGACAAUGGGCGCAAGCCUGAUCCAGCAAUGCCGCGUGCAGAUGAAGGCCUUCGGGUUGUAAACUGCUUUUGUACGGAACGAAAAGCCCUGGGUUAAUACCCUGGGGUCAUGACGGUACCGUAAGAAUAAGCACCGGCUAACUACGUGCCAGCCGCCGCCGUAAAAC